UACGUAGGGGGCAAGCGUUGUCCGGAUUUAUUGGGCGUAAAGAGCUCGUAGGCGGUUUGGUAAGUCGGAUGUGAAAUCUCCUCGCUCAACGGGGAGAGGCCAUUGGAAACGGUCGAGCUGGAGGGCAGUAGAGGCAGGCGGAAUUCCGGGUGGAGUGGUGAAAUGCGUAGAGAUCCGGAGGAACACCAGAGGCGAAGGCGGCCUGCUGGGCUGCCCCUGACGCUGAGCCGCGAAAGCCAGGGGAGCGAACGGG
rnacentral:rRNA from 1 species